GAGUUUGAUCCUGGCUUCGGGACGAACGCUUGACGGCGUGCCUAACACAUGCAAGUCGAGCGAGAAAAAAGAAGUAGAUCUCUUCGGAGUGACGCCUCUUUGGAUUAGCGGCGGACGGGUGAGUAACACGUGAGCAACUUGCCGUACACAUUGGGAUAGCCUCGGGAAACUGGGAUUAAUACCAAACGAAACAUAUUGAUAGCAUUAUCAAAAUGUCAAAGAUAUAUCGGUGUACGAUGGGCUCGCGUCUGAUUAGCUAGUUGGUGAGAUAAAAGCUCACCAAGGCAAUGAUCAGUAGCCGGCCUGAGAGGGUGAUCGGCCACAUUGGGACUGAGACACGGCCCAAACUCCUACGGGAGGCAGCAGUGGGGAAUAUUGCACAAUGGAGGGAACUCUGAUGCAGCGACGCCGCGUGAGCGAAGAAGGAAUUCGUUUCGUAAAGCUCUGUCCUAUGGGAAGAUAAUGACGGUACCUCAGGAGGAAGCCCCGGCUAACUACGUGCCAGCAGCCGCGGUAAUACGUAGGGGGCAAGCGUUGUCCGGAUUUAUUGGGCGUAAAGGGUUCGCAGGCGGCCUUUUAAGUCAGGUGUGAAAUCUCACGGCUCAACCGUGAUUAGCACUUGAAACUGGAAGGCUUGAGUUAAGGAGAGGAAAGUGGAAUUCCUAGUGUAGCGGUGAAAUGCGUAGAUAUUAGGAGGAAUACCAGUGGCGAAGGCGACUUUCUGGACUUAUACUGACGCUGAGGAACGAAAGCAUGGGGAGCAAACAGGAUUAGAUACCCUGGUAGUCCAUGCCGUAAACGAUGAGUGCUAGGUGUCGGGUGUCAAAGCUCGGUGCCGCAGCUAACGCA
rnacentral:rRNA from 1 species